rnacentral:rRNA from 1 species
UGACGGUACCUGACUAAGAAGCUCCGGCUAAAUACGUGCCAGCAGCCGCGGUAAUACGUAUGGAGCAAGCGUUAUCCGGAUUUACUGGGUGUAAAGGGUGCGUAGGUGGCAGGGCAAGUCAGAUGUGAAAGACCGGGGCUCAACUCCGGGGCUGCAUUUGAAACUGUCUUGCUGGAGUGCAGGAGGGGCAAGCGGAAUUCCUAGUGUAGCGGUGAAAUGCGUAGAUAUUAGGAGGAACACCGGUGGCGAAGGCGGCUUGCUGGACUGAUACUGACACUGAGGCACGAAAGCGUGGGGAGCAAACAGGAUUAGAUACCCUG